rnacentral:rRNA from 1 species
AACGAACGCUGGCGGCAUGCCUAACACAUGCAAGUCGAACGAGACCUUCGGGUCUAGUGGCGCACGGGUGCGUAACGCGUGGGAACCUUCCCUUAGGUUCGGAAUAACUCCCCGAAAGGGGUGCUAAUACCGGAUAAUGUCUUCGGACCAAAGAUUUAUCGCCUUUGGAUGGGCCCGCGUUGGAUUAGCUAGUUGGUAGGGUAAAAGCCUACCAAGGCGACGAUCCAUAGCUGGUCUGAGAGGAUGAUCAGCCACACUGGGACUGAGACACGGCCCAGACUCCUACGGGAGGCAGCAGAGGGGAAUAUUGGAAAAUGGGAGAAAGCCUGAACCAGCAAUGCCGCGUGAGUGAUGAAGGCCGUAGGGUUGUAAAGCUCUUUUACCCGGGAUGAUAAUGACAGUACCGGGAGAAUAAGCUCCGGCUAACUCCGUG